GAUGAACGCUGGCGGCGUGCUUAACACAUGCAAGUCGAACGGAAAGGCCGAAGCUUGCUUCGGUACUCGAGUGGCGAACGGGUGAGUAACACGUGGGUGAUCUGCCCUGUACUUCGGGAUAAGCUUGGGAAACUGGGUCUAAUACCGGAUAUGACGAUCUCUUGGAUGGGGUUGUGGAAAGCUUUUGCGGUAUGGGAUGAGCUCGCGGCCUAUCAGCUUGUUGGUGGGGUAAUGGCCUACCAAGGCGUCGACGGGUAGCCGGCCUGAGAGGGUGUACGGCCACAUUGGGACUGAGAUACGGCCCAGACUCCUACGGGAGGCAGCAGUGGGGAAUAUUGCACAAUGGGCGCGAGCCUGAUGCAGCGACGCCGCGUGGGGGAUGACGGCCUUCGGGUUGUAAACUCCUUUCGCAAUCGACGAAGCCUUUUGGUGACGGUAGGUUGAGAAGAAGCACCGGCUAACUACGUG
rnacentral:rRNA from 1 species